rnacentral:misc_RNA from 1 species
GAUGAAGAACGCAGCGAAAUGCGAUAAGUAAUGUGAAUUGCAGAAUUCAGUGAAUCAUCGAAUCUUUGAACGCACCUUGCGCCCUUUGGCCAUUCCGAAGGGCAUGCCUGUUUGAGUAUCAUGAACACCUCAACUCUUUAUGGUUUUCCAUGAUGAGCUUGGACUUUGGGGGUUUCGCUGGCCUAUGGUCGGCUCCUCUAAAAUAAAUCAGCUUACCGGUGUUUGGUGGGUAUCAUGGGUGUGAUAACUAUCUACGCUUGUGGUUUUUCCACCAGGUAACCUUCGACAGCGGAGGUUCACUGGAGCUCAUAGAUGUCUCUCCUCAGCGAGGACAGCCCUUUGAAUGUUUGAUCUCAAAUCAGGUAGGACUACCCGCUGAACUUAAGCAUAUCAAUAAGCGGAGGA